rnacentral:rRNA from 1 species
UACGAGGGGUGCGAGCGUUAUUCGGAAUCAUUGGGCGUAAAGGGUGUGUAGGCGGUAUACUAAGUCUGUUGUUAAAUGCUCCGGCCUAACCGGAGACCUGCAGUGGAAACUAGUAUGCUAGAGGUUGGAAGAGAGGAGUGGAAUUCUCGGAGUAGCGGUAAAAUGCGUAGAUCUCGAGAGGAACACCAAUGGCGAAGGCAGCUUCUUGGUCCAUACCUGACGCUGAAACACGAAAGCGUGGGGAGCAAACAGG